GACGUAGGGGGCCAGCGUUGUUCGGAAUUACUGGGUGUAAAGGGUUCGUAGGCGGUGUGGCAAGUCGGGAGUGAAAUCUCUGGGCUCAACUCAGAGACUGCUUCCGAAACUGCUGUGCUGGGGUGUGGGAGAGGCGCGUGGAAUUGCAGGUGUAGCGGUGAAAUGCGUAGAUAUCUGCAGGAACACCCGUGGCGAAAGCGGCGCGCUGGACCACUACUGACGCUGAGGAACGAAAGCUAGGGGAGCAAACAGG
rnacentral:rRNA from 1 species